rnacentral:snRNA from 1 species
UUACCACCGAGCGGCGGGUAGA